UGAGGGAAAUGAGGGAUCAGACAUUUUGAAUAGAAUAGAUGGAUCUGUCACAUGUGUUACUGUCUUUUUCUAUGCUUUCUCACAGUUCGCGGAAGAUGAAAGUGAAGAAUUUUCUGAAAACUGGUAACGAAACGG
ensembl:ncRNA R107.11 ncRNA